AGAGAACGAGACACACUUGGUAAUGAAUUUUUUUUUACUCCUUGACCCAAUGGUGAUUGAUUUGAAUAUCAUACGCUACAGCACAUCUCGAGUUUGGUCAUGUUCUUGAUUUGUCAUAAGAGAAAGGGGAAAUAGUAGAUCUUGUUAAACUUUAGUUCAUUGUUCAUUUAAUCAAGGGAAUCCCUGAUUGAAGCUGAAAACAUCUUCUCCUGCUG
rnacentral:lncRNA from 1 species